UACGGGGGGGGGCAAGCGUUGUUCGGAAUUACUGGGCGUAAAGGGUUCGUAGGUGGCCAACUAAGUCAGACGUGAAAUCCCUCAGCUUAACUGGGGAACUGCGUCUGAGACUGGAUGGCUUGAGUGCAGGAGAGGAACGCGGAAUUCCAGGUGUAGCGGUGAAAUGCGUAGAUAUCAGGAGGAACACCGGUGGCGAAGGCGGUUCUCUGGGAAUAUCCUGACGCUGAGGAGCGAAAGUGUGGGGAGCGAACAGG
rnacentral:rRNA from 1 species